rnacentral:tRNA from 1 species
GGUAUUGUGCCGGAAUAAACGGAUAACUUUGAUGAAGUUAAACAUGGAAGCUAAACCCCAAUACCU